rnacentral:rRNA from 1 species
CAACCUGCCUGUUACCACGGCACAGCCCGUCGAAAGGCGGAUUAAUGCCGUAUGUGGUCCUUUGCGGGCAUCUAAUUGGGACUAAAGGUUCAGCGGUAACGGAUGGGGAUGCGUCCGAUUAGCUAGACGGCGGGGUAACGGCCCACCGUGGCGACGAUCGGUAGGGGUUCUGAGAGGAAGGCCCCCCACACUGGAACUGAGACACGGUCCAGACUCCUACGGGAGGCAGCAGUGAGGAGUAUUGGUCAAUGGGCGGAAGCCUGAACCAGCCAAGUAGCGUGAGGGAAGACUGCCCUAUGGGUUGUAAACCUCUUUUGUGCGGGGAUAAAGUGAGGGACGUGUCCCUUAUUGCAGGUACCGCACGAAUAAGGACCGGCUAAUUCCGUGCCAGCAGCCGCGGUAAUACGGAAGGUCCGGGCGUUAUCCGGAUUUAUUAGGUUUAAAGGGAGCGCAGGCCGUCCUUUAAGCGUGCUGUGAAAUGCCGCGGCUCAACCGUGGCACUGCAGCGCGAACUGGAGGACUUGAGUACGCACGAGGUAGGCGGAAUUCGUGGUGUAGCGGUGAAAUGCUUAGAUAUCACGAAGAACUCCGAUUG